AGUUGUUGCAGGCAAAUAUCCAUUGAAGCCCAUCAGGAAAAGAGAAGUAUAGGGAAUAUAAAGAAAGCCACAGACAUCAUGGAGCAAACUUAAGAGCCCGAGCUUCCAUAUGCCAAUGAAUUGCCACCUCCUGCUGCCCUGAUCUGAUCUCCAGCCUCAGAGUGAAGCCAACUCCUCCAGCUCCUUCAAAUCAAGAAUUUAUGAGCCAUACUUCCAACUAACUGUAACCAUCUAUUCAUGUCUCCUAUAUGAAAAGUGGGAGAGAAAAGAGAUUUCUUUUAAUGA